rnacentral:sRNA from 1 species
GUUUUGCGGCCUCUUCUGCUCUGGUGGCUGCUGCUCCGGCAGCAGUACUGCUUUGCGCCGCCAGUGAUGCGCUGGUAUCAGAUGCAGCGGCGUGAGUGGAUGCCUCCGAUGCUGAUGACGAGGCGGCUGUUGCGCUGGCCGCUGCUGUACUUGCUGACGUUGCUGCAUUUGUCUCAGAUGUUUUUCGCUGCGGCUGCCGAUGCGGCUGCCGCCUUUUCCGACGCUGCCGCCGCAGUGGCUGACGCACCUGCAUCACCGGCACCUGGAAGCCCGCCUGCGUUU